GACGAACGCUGGCGGCGUGCUUAACACAUGCAAGUCGAACGGAAAGGCCCUGCUUUUGUGGGGUGCUCGAGUGGCGAACGGGUGAGUAACACGUGAGUAACCUGCCCUUGACUUUGGGAUAACUUCAGGAAACUGGGGCUAAUACCGGAUAGGAGCUCCUGCUGCAUGGUGGGGGUUGGAAAGUUUCGGCGGUUGGGGAUGGACUCGCGGCUUAUCAGCUUGUUGGUGGGGUAGUGGCUUACCAAGGCUUUGACGGGUAGCCGGCCUGAGAGGGUGACCGGCCACAUUGGGACUGAGAUACGGGCCAGACUCCUACGGGAGGCAGCAGUGGGGAAUAUUGCACAAUGGGCGGAAGCCUGAUGCAGCAACGCCGCGUGCGGGAUGACGGCCUUCGGGUUGUAACCCGCUUUCGCCUGUGACGAAGCGUGAGUGACGGUAAUGGGUAAAGAAGCACCGGCUAACUACGUG
rnacentral:rRNA from 1 species